CCUACGGGCGGCAGCAGUAGGGAAUCUUCCACAAUGGACGCAAGUCUGAUGGAGCAACGCCGCGUGAGUGAAGAAGGGUUUCGGCUCGUAAAGCUCUGUUGUUGGUGAAGAAGGACAGGGGUAGUAACUGACCUUUGUUUGACGGUAAUCAAUUAGAAAGUCACGGCUAACUACGUGCCAGCAGCCGCGGUAAUACGUAGGUGGCAAGCGUUGUCCGGAUUUAUUGGGCGUAAAGCGAGUGCAGGCGGCUCGAUAAGUCUGAUGUGAAAGCCUUCGGCUCAACCGGAGAAUUGCAUCAGAAACUGUCGAGCUUGAGUACAGAAGAGGAGAGUGGAACUCCAUGUGUAGCGGUGAAAUGCGUAGAUAUAUGGAAGAACACCGGUGGCGAAGGCGGCUCUCUGGUC
rnacentral:rRNA from 1 species